rnacentral:rRNA from 1 species
GACGAACGCUGGCGGCGUGCUUAACACAUGCAAGUCGAACGGAAAGGCCCUGCUUUUGUGGGGUGCUCGAGUGGCGAACGGGUGAGUAACACGUGAGUAACCUGCCCUUGACUUUGGGAUAACUUCAGGAAACUGGGGCUAAUACCGGAUAGGAGCUCCUGCUGCAUGGUGGGGGUUGGAAAGUUUCGGCGGUUGGGGAUGGACUCGCGGCUUAUCAGCUUGUUGGUGGGGUAGUGGCUUACCAAGGCUUUGACGGGUAGCCGGCCUGAGAGGGUGACCGGCAACAUGGGGACUGGGAUACGGCCCGGACUCUUACGGGAGGAAGCGGUGGGGAAUAUUGCACAAUGGGCGAAGGCCUGAUGCAGCAACGCCGCGGGCGGGAUGACGGCUUCGGGUUGUAAACCGCUUUCGCCUGUGACGAAGCGUGAGUGACGGUAAUGGGUAAAGAAGCACCGGCUAACUACGUG